AAUAAUAGUUUAUUUUAAAAUUGAUUAAACUAUAAAAAUGAACCGUUUCGAGAAAUAAGGGUAAUUGUAUUUUAUCACAAUGUCUAGAAUUACUCAUAUAUCCUCUUUAACCCAUAAAUAAGAAGAUAAUACACGUUAGCGCAUUCGAACCCACGUUCUUCUGCAUUGGCAACAAUACACAUGCCAAUCGAAUUAAGACUCAAUCCACC
rnacentral:lncRNA from 1 species